rfam:Triticum aestivum genome assembly, contig: Triticum_aestivum_CS42_TGACv1_scaffold_049829_1BS
UUACUAUUCCCUCCGUCCGGAAAUACUUGUCAUCAAAAUGAAUAAAAGGGGAUGUAUCUAGAUGUAUUUUAGUUCUACAUACAUUCAUUUUGAUGACAAGUGUUUUCGGACGGAGCUAGUAGUAA